UGACAUUAAAACUCCGUUUUCGGUAAUACAUGUACUACAUGCAUGUAUUUUGAUUGCCCCACAUAUUACCACCGCAUAUUAAAUGAAUAAAUCAAAUCCAAAGCGAUUGCAUCACAGUACGCCCAAAAAUUUGAUUGUAUAAAGAAGGGGAAUUUUGGUUUUUUCCCUUUUGACCUUUGGUUUGACCCCGUAAAGGGGAACAAUUUUUGAAAAGUGUAAAUUGGAUAUAAUAAAUGGAUAAAAUAC
rnacentral:misc_RNA from 1 species